GUCCUUGUGGCGUAACGGAUAGCGCGUUGAACUUCUAAUUCAAAAGUCGUGGGUUCAAAUCCCAUCUCGGAUG